rnacentral:tRNA from 1 species
AGACUUAGGAUAAAUUAAACCAAGGGCCUUCAAAGCUCUAAACAGGAGCACCAACCUCUUAGCCUCUGCCU